rnacentral:rRNA from 1 species
AGAGUUUGAUCAUGGCUCAGGAUGAAUGCUGGCGGCGCGCCUAACACAUGCAAGUCGAAGGAGAAGGUAGCUGCUUGCAGUUACUGGAGACUGGCGGACGGGUGAGUAACGCGUAGAUAACCUGCCUAUAUCUGGGGGAUAACAUCUCGAAAGGGGUGCUAAUACCGCAUAAUGCAGCGGGGCCGCAUGGCUACAGUUGUUAAAGGUUUCGGCCGGAUAUAGAGGGGUCUGCGUACUAUUAGCUAGUUGGUGAGGUAACGGCUCACCAAGGCGACGAUCUCUAGCUGGUCUGAGAGGAUGACCAGCCACACUGGAACUGAGACACGGUCCAGACUCCUACGGGACGCAGCAG